UUGGAGGGCAAGUCUGGUGCCAGCAGCCGCGGUAAUUCCAGCUCCAAUAGCGUAUAUUAAAGUUGUUGCAGUUAAAAAGCUCGUAGUUGAAUUUCGGGAUCAAUAUGUCGGUCGUGCCAUCGGUACGUACUGGUAUCAUUGGUCUCUCCUUUCUGACGAACCAUGAUGUCAUUAAUUUGGUGUUAUGGGGAGUUAGGACUGUUACCUUGAAAAAAUUAGAGUGUCUAAAGCAGGCAUUAGCUUGAAUACAUUAGCAUGGAAUAAUGAAAUAGGACGUUCGAACCUAUUUUGUUGGUUUCUAGGAUCAACGUAAUGAUUAAUAGGGAUAGUUGGGGGCAUUAGUAUUCAAUUGUCAGAAGUGAAAUUCUUGGAUUUAUUGAAGACUAACUACUGCGAAAGCAUUUGCCAAGGAUGUUUUCAUUAAUCAAGAACGAAAGUUAGGGGAUCGAAGACGAUCAGAUACCGUCGUAGUCUUAACCAUAAACUAUGCCGACUAGGGAUCGGAUGAUGUUAAUUUUUAAUGACUCAUUCGGCGCCUUACGGAAAC
rnacentral:rRNA from 1 species